GAUGGAGAACGUAGCGAAAUGCGAUACGUAAUGUGAAUUGCAGAAUUCAGUGAAUCAUCGAAUCUUUGAACGCAUAUUGCGCUCUCUGGUAUUCCGGAGAGCAUGCUUGUUUGAGUAUCAGUAAACACCUCAACUUCCAUAUCUUUUUUGAAAUGGGAGUUGGACUUGAGUGAUCCCAACGCUUUUCCUCACCGAAAAGUGGCGGGUUACUUGAAAUGCAGGUGCAGCUGGACUUUUCUCUGAGCUAUAAGCAUAUCUAUUUAGUCUGCCUAAAAAACAGAUUAUUACCUUUGCUGCAGCUAACAUAAAGGAGAUUAGUUCUUGUGCUGACUGAUGCAGGAUUCACAAAGACAGGCUUCGGCCGACUUUGUAAACUCGAUCUCAAAUCAAGUAAGACUACCCGCUGAACUUAAGCAUAUCAAUAAGCGGAGGA
rnacentral:misc_RNA from 1 species